GACGAACGCUGGCGGCGUGCCUAAUACAUGCAAGUCGAGCGGAUGAAAGAGGAGCCUGCUCCUCUAGAUUCAGCGGCGGACGGGUGAGUAACACGUGGGCAACCUGCCCUGUAGAUUGGGAUAACUCCGGGAAACCGGGGCUAAUACCGAAUAAUCCUUCGGACCUCAUGGUCCGAUGUUGAAAGACGGUUUCGGCUGUCACUACAGGAUGGGCCCGCGGCGCAUUAGCUAGUUGGUGAGGUAACGGCUCACCAAGGCCACGAUGCGUAGCCGACCUGAGAGGGUGAUCGGCCACACUGGGACUGAGACACGGCCCAGACUCCUACGGGAGGCAGCAGUAGGGAAUCUUCCACAAUGGACGAAAGUCUGAUGGAGCAACGCCGCGUGAGUGAAGAAGGUUCUCGGAUCGUAAAACUCUGUUGUGAGGGAAGAACAAGUACCGGAGUAACUGCCGGUGCCUUGACGGUACCUCAUUAGAAAGCCACGGCUAACUACGUGCCAGCCGCCGCGGUAACAC
rnacentral:rRNA from 1 species